UCUCCGUUGGUGAACCAACGGAGGGAUCAUUACCGAAGUUACCUUCAAAACCCACUGUGAACCUUACCUCUUGCCGCGUUGUCUCGGCGGGAGGCGGUGUGCGUCGCGCGCCCUAGCGGGCCGCGCCGCUCCCGUCCCUGCCGGCAGCGCCAAACUCUAAAUGCACAGCGGACUGUACGUUCUGAUUUACAAAAAAAACAAGUUAAAACUUUCAACAACGGAUCUCUUGGUUCUG
rnacentral:misc_RNA from 1 species